UACAAAGGAAUUGACGGGACCCGCACAAGCGUGGAGCAUGUGGUUAAUUCGACGCAACGCGAAGAACCUUACCAGGGCUUGACAUCCCCUGACCGCGUAUGAAAGUACGUUUUCACCCUCGGGUGACAGGGAGACAGGUGGUGCAUGGUUGUCGUCAGCUCGUGUCGUGAGAUGUUGGGUUAAGUCCCGCAACGAGCGCAACCCCUACGUUUAGUUGCUAACGCGUGAAGGCGAGCACUCUAGACGAACUGCCGUUGACAAAACGGAGGAAGGUGGGAUGACGUCAAAUCAUCAUGCCCCUUAUGUUCUGGGCUACACACGUGCUACAAUGGCCGGUACAGACGGACGCAAAGCCGCGAGGUGGAGCAAAUCCUAAAAAGCCGGUCUCAGUUCGGAUUGCAGGCUGCAAUUCGCCUGCAUGAAGUCGGAAUCGCUAGUAAUCGCAGGUCAGCAUACUGCGGUGAAUACGUUCCCGGGCCUU
rnacentral:rRNA from 1 species